rnacentral:lncRNA from 1 species
ACUUAUGCUUACCCAAUUGCUGUCAGGUCGAGGGGCAUCAAUGUCCUUGGAUCGUAGAUAUUCAUAAUCAAUCUCCUCCGAUAUGUCCUCAGCUUCAUAGACAGCGUGUUUAACAUCAUUAAGCCACUUCUUCACAGCACGAUUUGUAAUCUGCUUCUCCUCCGCAUCGUCGAGUAGUCCGUUGACAGUAUUCAGUGUUUCAUUCAGCUUUUCCAGAAGACCAUCAUCGAGUUUGUGGCUUUGGAAGAAGCCCAGAACCUCACGAGAGGCCAACCUGUCGACCAGAACCUCAAUGAGAGCAGAGAGAAUUGAUCCUCCGAUCAACUCCAGAGACAUGGUGGAUUUUUGCAGAAGGGUGAGGGUGGGAAUAUGUGAGAGAAAAGGAGUUGUGGAAAGCAGGAGCCUUGGUGGAUUUUUGCUAAAGGGUGAGAGAGUGAUUAUGUGAGAGAGAAUGAUAAGCCAAAUAGAAAACCCGAGGAAGCCGGCUUCGAGUGUGUUUGUCCUUGACGCAGUGUAUGCGUUUUCUCUCAAUGUAUAGAAAUGAUGGGCCCACUGCCCAAGGUUGGAACUUGGAUAUGAAAAAGAUUUUUUUUUUUCUGCUUUUUACAUGCUGGAUCACAGGUUAAACCUUCUUGAUCUGCUAAAAAAAACAUUCAAAAAUUAUCUUUGCAUCCUUUUUCUUUCUCCUAUCAUUCAUUACAAUUGCUUGUCUUUCUUUGAACAAUACAAUUGCCCAGAAAAUUCUGGUUUUGCUAUCAACAUGAUACAAUAGCAAUGAACAAGUCUAUUUCAUUAAAAAUUCAGAUUUGUAAUUUACUCGUAAACUAGUCGACUUAUCAGGUCAACCUGAAACUUGAAUGACUCGGUAAAAUACUAGUAAAGACCAUUUUCUUCAAAUGUAUUUUUUUCUCCUAUCUAGGAACCUUUUAUAUAUUUUAUUUUUUUUAUUUAGUUACUCAUUUCAAAAUUCACUAUAUAAAUAUUAGAAGAAUAUUUUAUUUUUUUAAUGUGAUAUUUUGAAGCCCUUUAAUAUAUAUACUUUAUGUUCUUCAAAAAAAAAUUAUGUUUUUUCAAAUGUAGAAUAAAAAACCUUUUUUGUUUAAAUACUUCAACUUAAAAAAAUAAGAUAGUAUAUUUUCAAAGUAGAAUAAAAAAUCUUUUGAAAUAAUCUUUUAAACUUAAUUGCUUACAACAUGUAUAGCCUAUAUCCAUAUAGAUUAUUUUUUAUUUUUUUAUAUAAAAUAUUAAAACCUCAUAUUUUUUUAAUUUUUCCUGAUUGACCCGAGUCAACCCAUGUAAACUAGGACCUAGCCCCUUAGUCGGGUUAAUCCUUAGGCUGAGUUUGAUAACCAUGAUUGUCAUGAGAAUACAACUUUAAAAAUGCAAUUAAAAAGAAAUAAAGUGAUGUGAACAGUUAAAAAAUCAAAUAAAUAGAUAAAACCUUUUCUUUUUUAUUUUAUUAAGGGCCUCUUUUAAUUAUUUUUUUUAUUAUGUGUUUAGAGAUAAAUUUAUGGACACUAAAAUCAACAUUUUUUAUUCUUGAAAUACAACUCACCAAAAUACCUUUUUAUAUAUAUCUAACGACUUUCUAUUUAUACUCAUGACAUCAAAAAAUUGAAAUACGAGGAGAAUGAAGUUUUAGAAUUAAAUAUAAAUAGCUAAAACUACAAGAAUAAAAGAAAAAACUUUAGGAACCCAAAUGAACUUUUAUGAGAAUUUCAAGGAUCAAAACUCAAUAUUCAGAUAGUAAAACGAGUGGGAAAUGAAGUUUAAAACUAAAAUGUAAACACAUAAAACUACUAGGAUUAAAAAUAUUUUUUUAAAAAACUUCAUUUGGUAUUACUCUUAGAACGUAAUUGGUACAAGGCUUAAAAAUAUGGGUGAAAUUAUCACAUAAAUAAUAAUUAUUAUUAUAAGAGCAAAUUUAAAAAGUGUAAAUGUUGGUUUUUAAAAAUGACUGAUGUAUUUGAACAGUUAAAUACUUGUGAAAAAAAGAGAGAAUAAUUUAAUAAUUAACUUCAACUUUUCCAUUAAUUAAUUAAGAUCUAAAAAAUCCAAAAAUUAUAAGUUUCUAAUAUAAAGUUAAAAAAUUUACAUAUAUAUAAAAAAGAUAUUUCAUAAAAUUCUAUUUUUUUUUAAUAAUUCACAGAAACUCAAUGCAAGACUUCAUAUGUUGAAUCUUCUCAUUAUCAACACUUUCAAAUAUAUCUUUUUUGAUAUAAGUAACCAAACAAUCAUUAAAUAAAUUAUCCCCAACUCGAUUGUGUAAUCGACUUUUGACUAAUUUCAACGUUGAAAAUAUUCUCUUUACUGAUGCAAUAACCACGCGUAAAAUUAAUGCUAAAUUUAUCACGUAAUAUAUGUUAUUUAUUAAAUUUAUUACUUAUAUAUUAAAAUGUAUGGGAUUUUCACCGUGUAUUUGUUAUUAUACAAUUUUUUUUUUCAGUUUAUCCAUGACAACUAGAGUGCCGAGCUCAAAAUGCUAGGGUCUGACAUAGUACCCGACCUAAUUACCAAACCCUAGAUUUGGUAACUAUGCAAGACCCAAGCAUCCCUUGCAAACAACUCCCAGCAAUAUUCAUAGCUUAUUGCAUUCAAGCGGUGAAAGGGGAUGACAGUUUGCGUGACUUUUGCUACAUCUUCUUCCCGUGUUGUCACGACAAUCUUACUUCCGUGCUCCACAUACCGCAAAGGUAGCAGUAGUUUAUCCCAUUCAUUGUACUUGAUGUUCCACGCGUCAUCUAGAACAGGUAGAAGUUUUUUCCCUUUCACUGCCUCCAUUAGAGAUUCAUCUGGUUCUUUGGUGCGGCAUGUACUUGCGUUGAUCUUAUCAAGAAUAUCCUGAAUAAUCCUGGCAACAUCAAAAUAGAUAACAACUACUGUAUAAAUAAUAAUUUUUAAAAUUUUUAAUUGAAAUCUAUUUUUUAAUCUAAUUAUUGGACACAUAUGAACAUUUUGACUCAUAAUUAAUUUUUUUAAAAAAAAUUCAUAAAAUUAUAAUUUUUAUGUGAAAUAAUCCACUGUUUAAUACAAUAAACUUCAAUUAAAUGACCAAUUAAGCUAGAUGAUUGAACUUUCAAUUAAUUUGUUAACUUGCGCUAACAUUUACCAAUGUUACUGUUUGAAAAUGUAAAAGUAAGCUAUUUCACUAAAAAAAAAUUUCGGUCUAGCAUCACUAAGCCACCUCUGCACAGCAGGCUUGGUAAUCUGUUUCUCCUCCGCGUCGUCGAGAAGUCCGUUGAGAGUAUUCAGUGUUUCUUUCAACUUUCCGAGAAGACCAUCAUUGAGCUUGUGGCUUUCGUCUCAUUUGCCCUGAAACCAAGCAUACGUUGUGGAAUUGAAAAGUAAGCAAGAGUUGCAAUAAAUCUCGUAAGUUAUGGAUUGAUUUGGUUCUACGAGGAUUAAUAUCACAACCAGCUUUGAAAAGCGAUAUGUUUUUGAUUUUUUGUUGUUUUUUUUAAAUGUUUUUUAAUUAAAAAUAUAUUAAAAUAAUAUUUUUUAUUUAUUAAUUAAAAAUAAAUUAUUUAAAAUAAAGAAAACAAUUAAAUUUUUUUUAAAAAAAAAAUUUAAAAUGUAAAAAUAAACAGCCUUGAAGAAGGUUUUUGAGAGUAUAGUAAUACUUGCUUUUAAAAAAAAAAAUUUGCUUAUGUGUGAGAGCUUCCCCAGCUCUUUCAUGCUAGACCCGCUCUCUUUUCCCACAAUGUAAUAUUCCAAAUAUCGAAGCUUUGUGAGUUUCGUUAUUUUUGGUGGCAUCUCUUCCAAAUUUGUCCCUUCAAUAUCAAGAUAUUGUAGGUUGACCAAGUUGGAAAUGUUGGAUGGCAACUCCAUGAGAUGUCGGCACUCUCUUAACAAUAGAGUUUGCAAAUAGUACAAGGUGCUCACACUUUCAGGUAACCUUUCAGUGGCGGUACAAGAAAGGUCCAAGUGCCGCAAAUGUUUUAAGUUGCCAAUGGAAUUGAGCAACUGAGAAGAAAUACUAAGGCCCCGUUUGUUUGCAGGAAAGUAAAUUCCUUUUGGAAAAUGAAUUCCGGGGAAAGUGAAUUCCUGGAAAGUGAAUUCCGGGAAAGUAUUUUCCGAUGUUUGGUAGUGUUAUAGAAAAUACUUUCCAGUGUUUGGUUGUGUUAUGAAAAAUAAAUUGGAAAAUAAUUUAUUAAUAAAUUAAUUUUUUUUUCAAAUUUAUCUAAUAUAUAUAAAAUAUUUAAUAUAAAAUAUUUAAUCACUUACAAUAAACAAAAUAAAAUCUAAAAUGUAUAAUGAUGAAUUUUUUUUAUUAUUAUAUUCUAUAUUCAUACAUAGCUUAUUUUAUAAAAUAUAACUAUAUAUAUCAUAUCAUAUUAUAAAGAAAUAAGCUUGUGAAAUAUUUUUUACUAUUCUAUGAAACCAUUUAUAAUUUCAUUACAUACGAAAUACAUCCGACAAAAACUAUAGUUUUAAUAAUAUUUUUAGCAUGUAAUAAAAUUGGAUAAAAUAUUAAGGUAUAAAAUUCACUCUAAACUAUUUUUUUUUAAUGUUAAAAAAAUAGCACACUUAUAUUUAUAUAUAUAUAUAAAAAAAAAAAAAAACGGAACAGUGCACUAAAACUGCACUGUUCACUCUUUUUUAGUGAACAGUGUAUGCAAUACACUGUUCAUUGUAAUUGCACUGUUCAAUGAACAGUGCAAUUACCAUGAACAGUUACAGAAAAACACGCAGCUGGCUCAGGAAAGUGUUUUCCGAGAAUUAAAAACGGAAAACACUUUCCUUAUGUUAAACUUAACAUUUUCCUUUGACUGGAAUUAACUUUCCUUUGACUAACUUUCCGGAUGGUUGCCAAACACUGGAAAAUGAGGAAACUGAAUUCCUGGAAUUCAGUUUCCUUGAAACAAACAAGGCCUAAGAGAACAAACAUAUAGACUUUUAAAGGAAAAGAAAAGAAGAAGAUUCAUGGAAGCCGGUUUUAAACUUCCUAACAAUAUUAAAUUAUUUAUAUUAUAUUCACACUUGGUAAAAUUACUAGCCACAACCUUCUUUGCCUCCACUAAUUUCUGAGCAAGAUCAUCGAUUCCUUUUUAUCUCUGGAAAUUCUUCACAAGAUCUCAGGUUAAGAAUAUAAGUUUCGAGUUGAUUAUAAAUUGUUACAAGCUUAACCAUGUAAGCCGGCCGUGCUGGCAUCCCUGACUGUUUGCCGGGGAUCAUUUUGUAAUGAUUUUCUCGUCGGACGUGAUCUUUCUUCUCUACUGUAUUAAUGAUGCAUCAUUUAGUACAAAUCUUUACAUCUUGAAAAGCACCGAUGAAAAUGCAUCUGAUGUUCUCUGAACGUGAAUCUACAAUGGCCUUCGGGCGGCAAUUUGGGUCCUACUUGUAUUGGCUUCUUCUGCUUUAUUUCCUUCUCUAAUAACAGGGGAUGUCCACAGAUUUUCCAUUACAGGACCUGAUCAUCACAUAUGCUUUGUUAUUUGAUAGCAAUUUUCCACUUCUGCGGUCCAUUCCUACCAUCUAUUUGAAAUCUGUGACAUCCCACCAGCUCUUGAAAAGAAGGGUGCAGUGCAGAACCCUACCAUUCUAUGAAAUGUUAGGAGAUGAGGUCAAGAUUUCUGAGUCAUGAAGUUGUCGAUUCUUGCGAAAGGGUGAGAGAGAGAGAAUGAUAGAAGUAGAAAGCUAAUAAACCACGGAAUUCCAUGAUGGGAACACGUGGACUUUAAAGGAAAGGAAGAGACAAGAAAACGCGUGGAAGCGGUAUGUAUAAAUAAAUUUGAUAAUCGAAUAAUAAAAAAGAUAAUUUAUGUGUUUAAUACAAUAAAUUUAAAAAUAUAUAAACAGUUAAACCGUAAAAAUUAUUAUGGAUUAAUUAUCUUCUUGUGGACAUCCAUAAAAUAUUAAUAAUAAGUUUUUUACAUGAGAAGAAUGAUAAAUGAUAAAUUAUAAAUUUAAUAUAUAUUAAAAUAAAAUUAACUUAAUUAGAUAUAUAAAAAUUGAUGAAAGAAAUAUUUUAUAAUAUAAGAAACAAAUCAAGUCGUUAAAUAGAUAAAAUGUUGAUAGCAACCAUAUUCAUUGCACAUUUAAAUUAAUCCUAGAAAUUUUAAAAGUUGUAGUUUAAUUGGUUAAAUUUUAGAUUUUUUUUAAAAAAUUACUGGUUUGAAUUUUAAAAUUUUAAAAUCAUUAAAAAUUUAUAUAAUUAUUAAUUUUAAAAUUUAUAAAAUUAAUUGAGAUAUUGGUGUAAAUAUCAAUAAUACGCUGCCGUGGAUAGCACAUAACUUGGUGCAUCGGAAGCACGAUGUUAAUUUCCAGAGCCACCAAUGAUGCGCCGCCGUGGAUAGCAAAGACGAGUUAAUUUUAGGACUCUUUUGACUAUUCUUCAUGCAAAUAUUUUUUAAAAAAUUAUAAAAUAUAAUUUUCAAUAUAAAAAUAAAUUGAUGUAUUGCCAAUGUGGAAACCCAAAGAAUAUACAACCUUGGUGAAAUUAACAGGUGAAUACGACCGUGCCCUUUCAUUUUUCCAUGCCAAACGCUCCAGAGAGCUAGCGUUCUCUUCUUUGGUUUAUUGACCGUGCAUGUCCCUUACAUAAGGGAAUUUUUAUUUUUGUGAUGUAAAAGUAUUUUUGAAAAAAAAUUAUUAUUUUUCAGUUUUAUUUCAAAUUAAUUUUCAAAAUGAAUCUUUAAUUGUGGCAUUCACUGGGUUCUUCAAGAAUUUAGCACAUGACAUGUUAAGUUUUCAGUAAUUAAAAAAAAAGGGCCAAAUGUUUUCACCUCGGGCCACACCGAAAUGAUAGGCAGGAUUGCCGUCACCGUCACGGGCAAGAAGGAUCCGACAUGUACAAUAUUAAAUUCAUGGAAGCCGGUUUAAAACUUCCUAACAAUAUUAAAUUAUUUAUAUUAUAUUUAGGGCUGGGUCACAAAAUAAAUUUUUUUAAAAAAACUAAAUUAAAAAAAAAAACUUAAAAGGCCAACAUUUCAGUUAUUUUAUUAUUUGAGCUGAAACUAUAAACAUUGUUAAAAAAAUUGUUGAAAAAAAUUUCCUUACAAGGCCGGAGUCGUUGCCUGCCUCCUAUCUCCGCCACUGAUCAUAUCCAUACUUGGUGCUCAAUGUAUUAAUCUUUUAUAUCAGCAUGAUUAAGGCAUCAUCAAGUGGAUUAAGUUUGGAUUGACUGUCUUCAAAUGGGCAUAAAUAAGAUAAGAAUAAUAAGUUUUCAUCCAUGCCUUUAAGAUGAAGGAUGGACCCGAGUUUUAAAGUAUAAAAUAAUAUAAAUAUAUAACUAAAUUAAUUAAGAUUUAAAAAAUCUAAAAAUUAUAAGUUUCUAAUAUAAAGCUUAAAAAUUUAUAUAUGUAUUAUAAAAAGAUGAUUUAUGAAAUUUUAUUUUUUUAUAAUUUAUAAUUGUUCUUUGUAAGAUUUUAUAUGCUGAAAACAUUGUAGGAUUUUCUCAUUAUUAACACUUUUAAAUAUAUCUUUUUUUAUAUAAUUAACCAUAAUCAAACAAUCAUUUAAUUAAUCAUACAAUCAUUUAAUCAAUCAUCUCUGAUUCGAUUGCAUAACCAGCUUUUAAUCAAUUUUAUCGCUGAAAAUAUUCUCUUUAUUGAUGAAGUGUUUUGUAUCCAUCAAUUUUUAAGCAAGAUCAUUUAUUCAUUUUACCUUUGUAAAUUCUUCACAGGAUCUCAUGUCAAGAAUAUAAGUUUCAAGUUGAUUAUAAGUGCUGCAAGCUCAACUAUGAAGAAAAUACAUGGAUAGAAUUAAGCAAGAUGAAUCAACUUUUGCUUAUCACAGGCCAUUAUUUGCCACUCCAACACUACAAAGGGAAAGACUCUUUUCCUUGGCCAACAAGCUAUAUUGGCUACAGUUUUGCCUCGGGUGUAUCAUUUAUUAUUAUUUUUUUUUUUACAAAAAAGUACUUUGAUGCUUUCAAAUUGAUUCAUCAACUUUUAUAUAUAUAUAUAUAUAUAUAUAUAUAUAUAUAUAUAUAUAUAUAUAUAUAUAUAUAUAUAUAUAUAUAUCUUUUAGAUCGUUUUGAUGCGCUAAUCUUAAAAAUAAUUUUUAAAAAUAAAAAAAAUAUCAUUUUAAUGUAUUUUAAUAUAAAAAAACUUUGAAAAACAAUUGUAAUUACACUACCGAAUACUCAUGGGAUAUAAAAUUGUGACCUCAGGGAACAAGUCAGCUUAUUGAGGAGAAGUAGAAAUAUGAGCAUUACAAAUCAAGCCUGCUUGAGCUUCCUCUAGGCAAUCAAGUUAAAGACUAAAUUUGAUGCAAAGUACAAAUCUUAAUAGAACUCGUUGAAAAUAAUUUAGAUAAUUUUUUUCUUAAUUUCCUUAUAUUGUUGGCAAAAAGUUUGCGAAAAGGUGGCAAACUUGUUCGCAAUACAGAGUUCCAAGUACAACAACACAUGCAAGCAAACAUCCGACUCUGUCAAGAUCUCUGGAUCUGUUGCUUGCACUGGGAUCAAACAUAUCAUUUUGGAUGUCCUGAUUUUUGAAAUGCUGCAUCGUUGGCCAGCAGUUAUCCCUUUCAGGUUUUACCUUAAUUUUCUUUUCACUUUGCCAGCAUCCUCAUUUCAUCCUGGCCAUAGGCCAUCUAUCGAGUUUAAUCCUGAACAUAGAUCCAUCAAGAAUAUAAUGCUAUUAGUAUUAAGCAUCUGUUAAAUAUUCUGAUCAAAGUUUUUCUUUUAAAUAUCUCAUAAAAUACCAUGUUAGCAAGAUCACUAUUGUUCUUGUUUUCAUUUCUUAAUAACUCUGCUUUGAAAACAGAAUCUCAAAUUACUUUAAACCUCAACAGAAAACAAUAAGAAAACAGGAAUUAUGAUCUUGGGCUGGCAUUUGCUGAUUCACUGUAAAUCAUGCCUUUGUUUUUGAACAAAUUGCUGGGAACCUAUCUCUACCUAAUGUGGUGAUGGGCUGUGCGGUGAAGAUCUGUUGUGUGAAAAUGCCAUGCUCCAAAAAUAGAAUUUAAAACAAAGCAGAUGCAAGGCAGAGAAUUUAGUAAAUACCGGAGCACGUUGGACAAAUGACAGGAGAGUGUUACUGCAUAAUUCUUCAUCCUCUAAUUAGAAAUUUUUAUACUGUGGAUGUGAGAAAUUUUGGGCCAAUUUUCCCCCGUCUCCCUUUCACACCUUGUGGCCAGCAAAGGACAACCGAUAAUCUUAAGAUAUUCAAGGGAGGAGGGCAGCCCUUCUUCUGGCAUGAACUCAAGCUUAGGAGAAUGCGAGAUCAACAAUUUGCGAAGAGAGGUGAAGUGUUGAAGCCCCGUAUAGUUCAGAGAUUUAAGAUUUCUGAGAUCUGAGAUUUGAAGAGAUUCAAGGGAGGAGGGCAGCCCCUCACCUGGCACGGACUCAAGCUUGGGAGAACUAGAGAUACGUAAUUUACGAAGGGAGGUGAGGUGCCGAAGCCCCUUAUAUUCCAGAUCUUCAAGAUUCAAGAUUUCAAGGUUUUCAAGGGAGGAGGGAAGCAUGUCUUCUGGAAGGGACUCCAGCUUAGGACUCUUGAGAAUCAAUGUGCGAAGAGAGGUCAGGUGCUGAAGCUCCUUGUAGUCCCGACCUCGUUGAUCCCAUAAUUGAAGGCAUUCAAGGGAGGGAGGCAGCCCCUGCAACGAUGCAAGCUUUGGACAAUUCCAGAUCUUCAAUUUGCGAAGAGAGGUGAUGCGCUGAAGCCCAUGGUUCCAGAGAUUCCAGUGUCAUGACAUGAAGGUAUUCAAGGGAGGAGGGAAGCGCCUGCUCUGAUAUGGACUCAAGCUUAGGGCAACCCUCGAUACUCAAUUUCCUAAGAGAGGUGAGGUGAUGAAGCCCCUUAUAGUCAAGAGACUUCAGAUUUCCCAGACGUUUGAUUUUAAGGGUUGUGAGAGUAGAGGGCAACGUCUCCUCGUCAAAAGACUCCACAUCGUUCCCAGUAAAUCUGAAGCAUGAAAGAGAAGGGAGUGCUUGCAAACCACAUACCUUGAGCUUGAUACAAUCCACAAUGCAAAGUGUGUGUAAUUUGGAGGGUAAGGCCUCCUUCAGGAAACGAAUCAACUUCUGGAAGUGAUCUCAAUUGCAAAUCCUCAAGGGAAGGGAGGAGGGAAUGCAUGUUUUCUGGCAAAGACUUCAAAUAUAAGCAACCCUCUAACACAAGGCUUGUCAAAUCUGGGGCAGCUAGUCCUUCUCGGGGGAAAGACACCAAAUUAGGACAGUGUCUGACAGUCAAAUGACGGAGACCAGGAAGAGAUCUCUCGCCUAUACAAAGAGAUUCGAGAUUGAGACAUUGUUUGACUGUAAGUGUGGAUACCUGGGGUAAAAGGUCUAGCCGGCAGGAGUUAAAUGAACUACAUCUAUCGAUUUCAACAUCUGUGAAAGAAGAGGGAUCCACAUGACUCAUUUGCUCCAUUCCCUUCAGUUGGGGAUAUUCUCUAAAUUGAAGGCACCGCCCACCGCCAUAUAAUACCGAUGCAUUUAUACGACCACUAGAACCAUCAAAUACAUUGAUUUCGGUGAGCAAUGGAGCCUCUGGAAUUGAAACCACAAGCUGUGGACACGCUCUAAUCUCAAGUAUCAAUAAAGAAGGAAGGUGAUUAGGCAAGCCAUUUGUUAACUCGGGACAACCUGCUAUCAAGAGCUUUGCAAGAUGAGGGAAAGCACCAGCUACAUCUGUAUUCCAUUCCUGCCAUUUUUUCAUCCCCUCGAACUUUAAUAUUUUGAGGGAUUUAAAUGGCUUCUCCAUCAAAGAGUCACUCCCAUAGAACUCAGAGCCAACCGCCACGACUUCAUCAAAUCCUUUAAUUUGGAGCUCUUCUAGAGAUGAAAGCUGCCCCAUUGGUGGUAAGGAGAUGCAGUUCUUACAUCCAGAAAGUGUCAACGCUACCAUAUUUGAGAAGGAAGAGUUUCCAAACCAACCUGGAAACAUCGUACCCCCAUAACCAGUAAUGACAAGAUGUUUCACAUUUUCAGAAGGCUCCAAUUUCUCAAGCACGUCUCUCUCAUGUUGUGUGUCAUCCGUAUUACCACCCCAUAUCAACCUCAGCUUCUCAAUCUUCUUCUUACCCUUCAAAUUGGCAUCCAAAGCAUCUUGAGCAUUUGCGACAUCUCUGAGAUUCCGAAUAGAAAGUUUUCUCCUUAUAUGUGAGAGCUUCCCCAGCUCUUUCAUGCUAGACCCGCUAUCUUUUCCCACAAUGUAAUAUUGCAAAGUUCGAAGCUUCGUGAGUUUCCCCAUUUUUGGUGGCAUCACUUUCAAAUUUGUCCCUUCAAUAUCAAGAUGUUGUAACUCGACCAAGUUCGAAAUGUUGGAUGGCAACUCCAUGAGAUGUCGACACUCUCUUAACAACAGAGUUUGCAGAUAGUACAAGGUGCUCACACUUUCGGGCAACCGUUUAAUUAAUGUCUGAGAAAGGUCCAAGUGCCGCAAAUGUUUCAAGUUGCCGAUGGAAUUGGGCAACUGAGAAGAUUUAUAGCUCCACCGAUAUAAAGAUAGCGUUCGCAAGCGCUUAAGAUUUGUCAACAUGUCAUUCAGCACCCCACUAUCAAUCCCCCCCACGUAUGUUAGUGGAGACAAGGUGCGCAAAUGUUGGACUCCAUGAAUGCGAGGAAAUAUCUUAGAGACCCCAUCAUAUAGUGUUGAAGUGAUUGAUAAAUGACGAGUCCUUUCUGGAAGCGUGCAUGAAUUUUCACCCUCCAACCAGAGCCCGAUUCUCCAUCCAUAACAAACUUAAAGCAGAAUUCUCCUGACAUGUAUUCAGCUAGAUCACUUGUGAGGUCGUGCAUGCUGAAAUAUGAUGGGGCGUAAAGUGAUUGCUGAAACAAUGACCUAGAGACAAGGUCAUUGAAGUAUUUGUCACCUAUUUCUUCCAUCUCCUCAACACCUCUGGACUGGACUAGAAAACCUUGUGCCAUCCAUGAAGUGAUUACUUGAUUCUUCUCAAAUACAUAACCCUUGGGAAAUAUUGCACAAUAAGCAAAACAACGUUUGAGGUGUGAAGGGAGAUAAUAAUAGCUCAAUGUUAGAGCUGGAGGGAUGUUUUCAUUCGACAAACCCCACAUGUUGCUAUUGGAUAUCUUCUCCCAUUCCUUGACAUCUCCUUCGGAAUGCAAAAGACCCCCAAGAGUUUUCGCUGCCAGCGGUAAACCUUUGCACUUUCUCGCUAUUUCUCUGCCAAAUGUUUCCAAGUGUGAGAAUGCUCCAGAAUUUGCACUGCUAAAUGCAUGCCUUGCAAACAACUGCCAGCAAUCUUCAUCGCUGAUUACAUUCAAGCGGUGAGAGGGGAUGACAGUUUGCGUGACUUUGCUACAUCUUCAUUCCGUGUUGUCACGACAAUCUACUUCCAGGCUCUGCAUACUGCAAAGGUAGCAGUAAUUUAACCCAUUCAUUGUACACAAUGUUCCACGCAUCAUCUAGAACAAGUAGAAGUUUUUUCCCUUUCAAUGCCUCCAUUAGAGAUUCAUCUGGUUCUUUGGUGCCGCAAGUACCUGCGUUGAUCUUCUUAAGAAUAUCAUCAACUAUCCUGGUGACGUCAAAUUGUUGAGAAGCCCAGACCCAGGCUUUGAGCUCGAAGCACUCAUCUACCCUUCUGUCUUUGUAGAUAAGCUGAGCAAGAGUGGUUUUACCAACCCCUCCCAUGCCCACAAUAGGAAUCACACCUACAUUUGCACCAUCUGUAUUGUUUUUUGUCAACAAGUACUUCAUUAUGGCUUCCUUAUCAGCUUCCCUUCCAUAUACAUGAGAUUCAUCAACCACAGGAGUUGUUUUCUCUGACAAUGGUCUCCAUCCACCAGUACCUUCUAUGUGGCGCAGAUCACCCUUGUGUUUAACUAAACGCUCAAGCUUCUCAUAGAUCUUUUGCAACUCUGCUUCCAUCUCUUUCAUCCUUUUAUUAGCUGGAUUAAGAAUUGGAAACAAAUUCCUUACCUGCAAUGGCGGAACAUAUCCAUGUAUAUGAGAUAGAAUUUAGGAACAUAUAAAUACUAAAAUUAUUAAACUCGUACCGAGUAAGUUAACACAGCUGCAAUGAUGUUUUUUUAUAAAAAAUAAAAAAAUUAAAAUGAGAUUAUUUUUUUAAAAAAAGUUAAGUCUAACCAAGAUUCUAAUGAGAUGAUAGGAUGGUGAAUUAACCCUCCAGGUUACUAAAAAUUGAAAGAUAAAUUCAGCAAUUAGCACAGUAAACAUAAAAAAGUGAUGCAAUGAUAUUUUUUUGAAAAAGCUUUUGAAAAAUAGUAUAUUUUCACCUUCUCACACCUAAGAAAAGCAAUAUUUACUAAAUUUUAUUAUUACUAAGCAUGACAAGAUAGUUGUCGUACUUCGGAAUAGCAACAUUUAGUAAAUAUUGUGUUUUUAAAGAGCGUUAAAGUGAAACUUCAAUCAUCUGAAUCAAUUAAUUGACCUGUUUAUAAUGGUUAGUGAAAUCGGUUGACCAAUCUUGAAAAUGAUAAGAAAAAUCUCAAAAAUACCAAAAUCAAGGGGCCUCGAUGAGAUUUUUGAUAUCUAGAGAUUUGAUAGUUUACAUAACGACAUAGUGGCUACAAUAGGGAAGAUGAUUUUUGAAAACUUCUAUACAAGUUUGAGUGCGAUCUAACAGUCUAAUAAAAAAAUAUAGCUUUUUUAGUUGUUAUUCUGGUAUGGCGGAACCAGAUCUCCUCUUGAGCCUUAAACUAUCUCAUCGGUCCGUAAAUGCAUUUGUUAGAUCAUACACGUAAUUCGUUUAGGAUAAAUUCUCAUUUAGUUAUGAUAGACACACACAUGGCUAUUUAGAAUCACUUGUUAUCACAAGUCUUUAUACAUCAUUGACAUUGAAAAAUAGAUAAUAAUUACUGUGUGAAUAAUAAUUUUUUAAAAUUUUAAUUGAAAUCUAUUUUUUUAGUCUACAUAUUGAACACAUAUAUAUUUUGACUCAUAAUUAAUAUUUGAAAGAAAAAAUUCAUAAAAUUAUAGUUUUUAUGUGAAAUAGUCGACUAGUUAAUACAACUGAAUCCAAUCAACCGACCAGUUGAACAACAUUUACUAAAUGUUGUCAUUUGAAAAUGUGAAAAUAUGCUAUUUCAUAUUUUUCUUUUUCAAUCGGUGUUAUUAUACCAAUAUUUAACAUUUGUUGUGCUAAUUUAAAAAAAAAAUGAAUGGUCAACUUUGAUUUUUUAAAAAAAAAAAUAAUUCAAAUUCUAGAUUGAACAUGUUUUAAUUAAGUUGACAGCUGGGCCAAGCCAGUGGUUGGAAUUUGUUGGAAUAAUAAUGAGUAGUGGUUGCAGGAGAGUAUCAUAGGAUUGGUUGCAUGAGAUAAAUUAGCAUCAUUGGGUGUUGUUUGCAUGAAAUAUUUCAAGAAAAGAUAUGAAAUUUUCUGAUAUUUUACAAUUUCGAAUUGUGCUUGUAAAAAUCAGAGGGAUCGAUACUAACAUUAUACGAGAAAGGCAAAAACAUAUGCUUACCGGAUUCCUCACACGUCGAGAGGCAGCUUUAAUAUCCUUGGAUCGUAGAUGUUCAUAUUCAAUCACCUCCAUUAAGUCCUCAGCUUCAUACACAGCAUGUCUAGCAUCAUUAAGCCACCUCUGCACAGCAGGCUUGGUAAUCUGCUUCUCCUCCGCGUCGUCGAGAAGUCCGUUGAGAGUAUUCAGUGUUUCUUUCAACUUUCCGAGAAGACCAUCAUUGAGCUUGUGGCUUUUGAAGAAGCCCAGAAUCUCAGGAGUGGUCACCUUCUCGCCAGAACCUCAAUGACAGCGGAGAGAAUUGAUCCUCCAAUGUACUCCACAGCCAUGAUGGGAUCUUCCAGAGAAUUGGAAGGAAGCAGAAGCAAAGAAUUGUAGAGAAGAAGAUAGUGAAGAGAACAAGACGUUUAACGAAUGGAAAAGGAAAGAAAAAUCAAAGUAAGUACGCGGGUUCUCAGUUGACUUCACAGCUCAGCCACUCGAAACUAUUGACCCCAGAUUAUCACUAUACAAUUCAUCGGAUACCCUACGAGUUCAGAAAAGACAGUUUCUAAGCUCGAGUGAGAGUAACCUUUGAAUAGUUUCUUAAUUUUUAAUAAAAAAAUCUAAAUUUUUUAAAAACACAUAUUGACUUGCUUUUCUAAACGUUUUAUCUUCGUAAUCUCAGGUAGGAAGCCCACAGGAAUUUGCAUAGGCAGCAAGGAUCAAGGGAGACAGCUGGGAACCUUGACCUCAAAGACCCAAAUAUUAAUUUUAAUUUCUCAAUUUCUUUCCAAGUAUUUAAUAUUGCAUCACUCUCCCACUCUACCGAGUCGUUCCUCGAAUCUUCUCAAGGAAAAGGAUUUAAAAAAGAAAAACACAAUUUAUUAGCACAGAUUGUUUUGUCGGCCAAGAAAAGCAACCGUGAUAAGUGGGGAAGUUAUCAUUUUCUUACUUUUGUGGUGUAAAAUUAUUGAUAUGAAGCUAUCUGGUCAAUUAUCAAAUUAACAAACAAUCUUCCUUUGACGUUGACUUGUCGUCUCAUUUGCCUGAAACCAAGCAUACGUUGUGGAAUUGAAAACUAAGCAAAGUUGCAAUAAAUCUCGUAACUUAUGGAUUGAUUUGGUUCUACGAAGGAGUAAUAUCACAACCAGCUUUGAAAAAGGUGUUGUUUUCGUAGCAUUUAUUUUUUAAAAUAUUUUUAAUUAAAAAUAUAUUAAAAUAAUAUUUUUUAAAUUUUUUAAAAUUUAUUUUUAAUAUUAUUAUAUUAAAAUGAUUUGAAAACAUAAAUUAUUUAAAAUUAAAAAAAAUAAUUUUUUUAAGAAUAAUUUUGAAAUGUAAAAACAAACGUUGAAGGAGGUAUUUGAGAGCAUUAUAGUGGUUAUUUUACUUUAAAAAUAUAUUAAAAUAAUAUUUUUUAUUUUUUAAAAUUUAAUUUUUACUUCAACACAUCAAAACAAUGCAAAAUUAUAAAAAAAUAACCUUCAACAAAAAUAGUUUAAAUUUUAACGAAGAACCCGCAAUUCUAAGUGGGACAAAAUAUAACAAUGCAAGGGAAAAAGGCUGUCAAGUGUGGCAAGGCAGAGUUCCGAAUAUGACAAUAAAGGAAAGCAAACAUCCGACUAUCUUUGUUGUGGCUCCGAAUGGAUCUGUUGCUCGGAUAGGGGAAUGUAGCAUUUCGGCUAAAUUAAACUUAAUUUUUCUUUAAUUAAGUUAAUUAAACUUAUUAAAUUUUUAAUUAAAUCAUUGAAUUUAAUUAAUCCUUUUAAUUUUGAUCAAAUUAACUUUUAAAAUUAAUUUUACUAUGGUUUAAGCUAUUAAUUAAAUUAAUAAGACCCAUUAAAAGUUCAAUUAAGUUUCUAAACUUAAUUAUUUUGCAAGUCUGCCCAAUACUCAAUAAUAAGACCCAUAGUUAAAAAAAAAUGCAAACAGUGCCAUUCUAAUAGAGGUGAGGUAAUGAAGCCCCUGGUAUUCAGGGGAUGAGGGCAGCCACGACUUCAUCAAAUCCUUUAAUUUGGAGCUUUUCUAGAGAAGGCAGCUGCCCAAGUGGUGGCAAGAUGCUGCAGUUCUCACAUCCAGAAAAUGUCAACUUUACCAUAUGUGAGAAAGAAGACUUUCCAAGCCAGCUUGGAAACGCUGUACUCCCGUAACCAUAAAUGCAAAGAUGUUUCACAUUUUCAGAAGGCUCCAAUCUCUCAAGUACUUCUCUCUCGUGCCGUGUGCAUGUCAUCCGUAUUGCCAUCCCACAUCAACCUCAACUCCUCAAUCUUCUGCUUACCCUUCAAAUUGGCAUCCAAAGCAUCUUGAGCAUUUGCAACAUCUCUGAGAUUCCAAAUAGAAAGUUUUUUCAUUAAACGAGAGAGCUUCCCCAACUCUUUCAUGCUAGACCGACUAUCUUUUCCCACGAUGUAGUAUUCCAAAAUUCGACGGUUUGUGAGUUUCUCCAUUUUUUGUGGCAUCUAUUCCAAAUUUGUCCCUUCAAUAUCAAGAUGUUGUAAGUCGACCAAGUUGGAAAUGUUGGAUGGCAACUCCAUGAGAUGUCGGCACCUCUUUAACAAUAAACUUCGCAAAUAGUACAAGGUGCACACACUUUCGGGGAACCUUUCAAUGGCGGUGCAAGAAAGUCCAAGUGCCGCAAAUGUUUUAAGUUGCCAAUGGAAUUGAGCAACUGAGAAGAAGUAUCUUUUAUUUGGAUAGAUAAUUAUUUGAUUAAAUAAAAAAUAUAUUUUAAAAAACAAAGUUAUUAAACAUAGCUGAAUGCAUGAACUUGUUAUGAAAUCAAGUAUCCUUGUGUUUUUUUUUAAUUUCAUCCUUCAACAUGUAAUUUUUUUUAAUUGGUAUUUGUGUUUUUUUUUUUUAACUUUUCUUUCUAUAAAAUUAUCUCAAUCAUGUGUUUAUUGUCACGAGGUUACUGUAUUUAUAUAGUUUGACCCAUGUCUUUUUUUUUUAAGUUUCUUCAUUCUAUAUUGGGUAUGAUUUUUUUUACCUUUUGUUAGUGUAUAUAGUUGUUUGAUAAAAAGAAAACUCUAGGAAAUAUAGUUGUUAAACACAACUAGAUACAUUAUUCAUAUUAGAGAUUAAAUAUCUCAAUUUUAAUUAUCUUUUUAUAAAAUAUUGAUCUAAUUACUAAUAUAUGUAUAGACAUUUCUAUUUAUUAUUGAAAAAUAUUUUAUAUUAAAAAUGUAUUGUAAAAUCUAUUUAUUAAUUUUUUUAUAUAUAAAUAAUCGCUUGGCCGCGGAGCGCGGGUACAAAACUAGAUACAUGGUCUAAAGAAUGCAACAAGGGUUCGGUUGUAGAUGAGGAUAACCUCUAAUAUGAGGAAAUAGGUACCAGGGCAGCUCCUUUUCUGGCAAGGGACCAAGCUCAGGACAAUCCCAGAUACUCAAUUCGUGAAGAGAGGUGAGGUGCUUAAGCCCCUUUACAGAUUUCAGAUUUAUCAGAUCUGAUAUUUUAAGAGAUUCAAGGGAGGAGGGCAGCUUCUCUCCUGGCACGGACUCGAGCUUAGGAGAACUACAGAUAUGUAAUUUACGAAGAGAGGUAAGGUGUCGAAACCCCUUAAAUUCCACAUCUUCCAAAUCACAGAUUUCAAGGUCUUCAAGGGAGGAGGGAAGUGUGCCUUCUUGAAGGGACUCAAGCUUCAGGCUCCUCCUUAUCUUCAUUUUACGAAGAGAGGUGAGGUCUCGAAGCUCCUUGUAGUCCCGGUCUCGCUGAUCCCAUAACUGAAGGAAUUCAAGGGAGGAAGGCAGCCCCUGCAACGAUUCAAGUUUAGGACAACCCCCGAUCUUCAAUUUGUGAAGAGAGGUGAGGUGCUGAAGCUCAAUGCAGUCCAGAGAUUCCAGUUUACAGAGAUGAAGGCAUUCAAGGGAGGAGGGCAGCGCCUGUUCUGAUAUGUGCUCAAGUUUAGGACAACCCCCGAUCUUCAAUUUGUGAAGAGAGGUGAGGUGCUGAAGCCCAAUGUAGGCCAAAGAUUCCAGUUUACAAAGAUGAAGGUAUUCAAGGGAGGAGGGCAGCGCCCGUUCUGAUAUGGACUCAAGUGUAGGGUAACUCUCGAUACUCAAAUUUCUAAGGGAGGUAAGGUGAUGAAGCCCCUUGUAUUCUAGGGAGGAGGGCAGCACCUGUUUUGAUAUGAACUCAAGUUUAGGGCAACUCUUGAUCUUCAAUUUGCGAAGAGAGGUGAGGUGAUGAUGCCCCAUGUAGUCCAGAGAUUCUAGGUUUGUGAGAUUAAGGUAUUCAAGGGAGGAGGGAAGCGCCUGCUCUGAUAUGGACUCAAGCUUAGGGCAAUCCUGGAUACUCAAUCUCUGCAGAGAUGUGAGGUGAUGAAGCUCCUUAUAGUCCAGAGAUUUCAGGUUUUCCAGACGAUUGAUUUUGAGGGUAGUAAGAGUAGAGGGCAACGUCUCCUCUUCAAAAGACUCCACAUCGUUCCCAGCAAAUCCGAAGCAUGAAAGAGAAGGGAGUGCUUGCAAACCACAUACCUUGAGUUUGAUACAAUCCACAAUGCAAAGUGUGUUUAAAUUGGAGGGUAAACCUCCUUCAGGAAACGAAUCAACUUCUGGAAGUGAGAUCAAUUGCAAAUUCUGUAGGGAAGGGAGGAGGGAAUGCAUGUUUUCCGGCAACGACUUCAAAUAUGACCAACCCUCUAACACAAGCCUUGUCAAAUCUGGGGCAGCGAGUCCUCCUUUGGGGAAAGACACCAAUUUAAGACAGUGACUGAUUGUAAGAUGACAGAGAGCAGGGAGAGGUCUCUCGCCUAUACAAAGGGAUUCGAGAUUGGGACAAUGUUCAAUGGUAAGUGUGGAUACCUGGGGUAAAAGGUCUAGCUGGCAGCAUUUAAAUGAACUACAUUCCUUGAUUUUGAUUUCAGUGAAAGAAGAGGGAACCAAAUGACUCAUUUGCUCCAUUCCCUUUAGCUGGGGAUCUCGUCUAAAAUGAAGGCAAUGUAGAUCUGAUGCCCCAUAUAUACGGCUUUCAUCGCCCUCAGAUACAUUGAUUACGUCGAGCAUGGGAGCCUCUGGAAUUGAAACCACGAGCUGCGGACAUUCUUGAAUAUAAAGAUUACAUAAACAAGGAAGGUGACUAGGCAAGGCAUUUGUUAACCCGGGACAACCUGCUAUCAAGAGCUUUGCAAGAUGAGGGAAAGCACCAUCUACAUCCGUUUCCCAUUCCUGCCAUUUUUUCAUCCCCGCAAACUCUAAUAUUUUGAGGGAUUUAAAUGGCUUCACAAUCAAAGGGUCACUUCCAUAGAACUCAGAACCAACUGCCACGACAUCAUCAAAUCCUUCAAUAUGGAGCUCUUCAAGAGAUGGCAGCUGCCCCAAUGGUGGUAAAAGGAUGCAGUUCUUACAUCCAUAAAGCAACAACAUUACUACCAUAUUUGAGAAAGAAGAGUUUCCAAGCCAGCCUGGAAACGUUGUACCCCCGUAACCACGAAUGGCAAGCUCUUUCACAUUUUCAGAAGGCUCCAAUUUCUCAAGUACAUCUCUCUCGUGUGGUGUGUCAUCCGUACUGCCAUCCCACGUCAACCCCAACUCCUCAAUCUUCUUCUUACCCUUCAAAUUGGCAUCCAAAGCAUCUUGAGCAUUUGCAACAUCUCUGAGAUUCCGAAUAGAAAGUUUUUUCCUUAUGUGUGAGAGCUUCCCCAACUCUUUCAUGCUAGACCCGCUAUCUUUUCCCACGAUGUAAGAUUCCAAAAUUCGAAGCUUCGUGAGUUUCCCCAUUUUUGGUGGCAUCUCUUUCAAAUUUGUCCCUUCAAUAUCAAGAUGUUGUAAGUCGACCAAGUUGGAUAGGUUGGAUGGCAACUUCAUGAGAUGUCGGCACUCCUUUAACAAUAAGCUUUGCAAAUAGUACAAGGUGCACACACUUUUAGGUAACCUUUCAAUGGCAGUGCAAGAAAGGUCCAAGUGCCGCAAAUGUUUUAAUUUGCCAAUGGAAUUGAGCAACUGAGAAGAAAUAUGCAAAUGUUUCGAGUUACCAAUGGAAUUGAGCAACUGAGAAGAAAUAUCUUUUGGAUGACAUAAAGAUAGCAUUCGCAAGCGCUUAAGAUUUGGCAAGAUGUCAUUCAGUGCCUCAAUAUCAACUUCCCUUAAAAUACAGUGGAAACAAGGUGCGCAAAUGUUGGACUCCAUGAAUGCUACGAAAUAUCCGAAGUCCUCCGCCAUAUGCUGCCCUGAAGUGAUUGAUAAAUAACGAGUCCUUUCUGGAAGCGAGCAUGAAUGUUCACCCUCCAACCAUUAAUACCAAGCUUAAAGCAAAAUUCUCCUGACACGUAUUCAGCUAAAUCACUUAUGAGGUCAUGCAUGCUGAAAAGAAGAACAAGUUGAUUGCUGGAAAAGUGACCUGGAGACAAGAUCAUCAAAGUAUUUUUCACCUAUAUCUUCCAUCUCCUCAACGCCUCUGGGCUGGACUAAAAACCUUGUGCCAUCCAUUCAGUGAUUAAUCCAUCCUUCUUGAAUACAUAACCCUUAAAAUAUUGCACAAUAAGCAAAACAACGUUUCAGGUGUGAAGGGAGAUAAUAAUAGCUCAAUGUUAGAGCUGGAGGGAUGUUUUCAUUCGACGAACCCCACAUACUGCUAUUGGAUAUCUUCUCCCAUUGCUUGACAUCUCCUACGGAGUGCAAAAGACCCCCAAGAGUUUUCGCUGCCAGCGGUAAACCUUUGCACUUUCUCACUAUUUCUCUGCCAAAUGCUUCCAAGUGUGAGACUGCUCCAGAAUUUACACCACUAAAUGCAUCCCUUGCAAACAACUCCCAGCAAUAUUCAUCGCUUAUUACAUUCAAGCGGUGAAGGGGAUGACAGUUUGCGUGACUCUUGCUACAUCUUCAUCCCGUGUUGUCACGACAAUCUUACUUCCGUGCUCCACAUACUGCAAAGGUAGCAGUAGUUUAUUCCAUUUACUGCGCUCAAUGUUCCACGCGUCAUCUAGAACAAGUAGAAGUUUUUCCCUUUCACUGCCUCCAUUAGAGAUUCAUCUGGUUCUUUGGUGCGGCAAGUACUUGCGUUGAUCUUCUUAAGAAUAUCCUUAAUAAUCCUGGCAACAUCAAAUUGUUGAGAAGCCCAGACCCAGGCUUUGAGCUCGAAGCACUCUCUACCCUUUCGUCGUUGUAGAUAAGCUGAGCAAGAGUGGUUUUACCAAUCCCGCCCAUACCCACAAUAGGACCGCACAUAAAUUUGAGCCAUCCGUGUUGUGUUGUGUCAACAAGUGCUCCAUUAUGGCUUCCUUAUCAGCGUCCCUUCCAUAUACAUGAGAUUCAUUAACCAGUGGAGUUGUUUUCUCUGACAAUGGUCUCCAUCCACCAGUACCUUCUAUGUGGCGCAGAUCACCCUUGUGUUUAAGUAAACGUUCAAGCUUCUCAAGGAUCUUUUGUAACUCUGCUUCCAUCUCUUUCAUCCUUCUAUUAGCUGGAUUUAGAAAUGGAACCAGAUUCCUUGCCUGCAAUGGUGGACUAAAUUUAUGAGGUAGAAUUCAGGAAAACAUUAUGAUUUUAUAAUAUCAAAACAAAAACAUUUUCCUUCUACAGGUCUUUUUCAAGAAUUUACGAUUGUUGAUGCUAACUUAAUGUAAUUAAGCAGUAAAACUCAAGUUUUAAAAAGAUAUUGAUUAAAUGCCAUUAGUUAUUUUCAAAGCCCUUACUAUAUCAUAUUAUUUUUAUAUAUAUAAUGAAAUUAAUUUUUUAUAUAUAAAAUAAAAAUGGAAAAAAAAUUUAUUUUCAAAAAUAAUUGUUUUCAAUUUAUAAUUAUGCUAAUAAAAAAUCAGUUCAUAAUUCUUGGUGAUUAUUAUAUAUAUAAUUACUAAGAAAAUUAAUAUUUAUAAUAAUGCAGGUUUUGAAUCUCGUAAGUCCUAAUAAUUCAUCACUAAAAAUAUUGAAAGACAAUUCAAUUUGUAUCCCUUGUUUUUUCAGAACAAGUAAUAUCCAUUUAUGUUCUUAUAAAAAACAUAUAAUUUAAUUAAAAUUGACAAAAUUUAUAUAAAUAAUUCAGAUUUUAAAAAUCCAAAGCCCAUGUUUAGAAAACUAAUUAAUAAAUGAGAAUUUGCAAGCAUAAUUUCACCACAGACACCAAAAGCCAAUAAUAUAUAUUAGUUGCUUAAAAAUGAAUACUCUUUAAUUAAAACUCACAGAAAGACAACCACCAUGCCUGAAAUUAUUUUUAUGAGGAAGCAAGGUCUAUAAGUGCAAGAACUAUAUGCUUACCCAAUUGCUGUCAUGUCGAUCAAUGUCCUUGGAUCGUAGAUAUUCAUAAUCAAUCUCAUCCAAUAUGUCCUCGGCUUCAUAGACAGCAUGUUUAACAUCAUUAAGCCAGUUCUUCACAGCAAGCUUUGUAAUCUGCUUCUCCUCCGCAUCGUCGAGUAGUCCGUUGACAGUAUUCAGUGUUUCUUUCAGCUUUUCCAGAAGACCAUCGUCGAGCUUGUGGCUUUUGAAGAAGCCCAGAACCUGACGAGAGGCCAAUCUGUCGACCAGAACCUGAAUGACAGGAGAGAGAAUUGAUCCUCCGAUCAACUCCAGAGCCAUGGUGGAUUUUUGCAGAGAGGGUGAGGGUGGGAAUAAGUGAGAGAAAAAGAGAAGUGGAAAGCAGGAGCCUUGGUGGAUUUUUGCGAAAGGGUGAGAGUGUGAUUCUGUGAGAGAGAAUGAUAGUAAUAGAAAGCU